rnacentral:lncRNA from 1 species
UCUAAGCUAGUCUUUGUAAUUUAUACCGGACAAACGAUUGGUUUCAAGGAUGCAGGCUAGAGAAUUUGAGACUAAUAUUGUUUAACUGUGAGAGUAGAGAUUUAAGUUAGACUUUUGUACUUAAUGUUGUAUUUGCUUCUAGAGACUUUAGGAUGCAAACAAUGACUCCCAUUAAUUUAUCGGAUCCCUCCACCCUCCGGAAGAAAAUGAAAACCCUAAUGCGAUAAAGAAUUUUUAGUGGAUGUUGCGGUUCCACCGAUGACAUGUACCUCACCUAACAGUUAUUGGUAACAUGCACACCGAUGCAUAGGCAACUCUUUACCC